rnacentral:rRNA from 1 species
GAUGAACGCUGGCGGCGUGCCUAAUACAUGCAAGUCGAGCGAACAGAUGAGGAGCUUGCUCCUCUGACGUUAGCGGCGGACGGGUGAGUAACACGUGGAUAACCUACCUAUAAGACUGGGAUAACUUCGGGAAACCGGAGCUAAUAUCGGAUAAUAUAUUGAACCGCAUGGUUCAAUAGUGAAAGACGGUUUUGCUGUCACUUAUAGAUGGAUCCGCGCCGCAUUAGCUAGUUGGUAAGGUAACGGCUUACCAAGGCAACGAUGCGUAGCCGACCUGAGAGGGUGAUCGGCCACACUGGAACUGAGACACGGUCCAGACUCCUACGGGAGGCAGCAGUAGGGAAUCUUCCGCAAAGGGCGAAAGCCUGACGGAGCAACGCCGCGUGAGUGAUGAAGGUCUUCUGAUCGUAAAACUCUGUUAUUAGGGAAGAACAAAUGUGUAAGUAACUAUGCACGUCUUGACGGUACCUAAUCAGAAAGCCACGGCUAACUACGUG